rnacentral:lncRNA from 1 species
UCAGGAUGAAGAUGAUGCUCUUAAUGAGAUUGUACGGUGUAUCUGUGAACUGGAUGAAGAGAAUGGCUUCAUGAUCCAGUGUGAAGAGUGCCUAUGCUGGCAGCACAGUGUGUGCAUGGGGCUUCUGGAGGACAGCAUUCCGGAGCAGUACAUCUGCUACAUCUGUCGGGACCCUCCGGGUCAGAGAUGGAAUGCAAAAUAUCGUUAUGAUAAGGAAUGGUUGAAUAACGGAAGAAUGUAUGGGUUAUCUUUUGUAAAAGAAAAUUAUUCUCAUCUCAAUGCCAAAAAAAUAGUUUCCACACACCAUCUUCUUGCUGAUGUCUAUGGUAUAACUGAAGUACUGCAUGGAUUGCAGCUCAAGAUUGGAAUACUAAAG